CCGAGCUCCGAGCCGGGCGCGCGGAGCCCGGGGCGCACGGAGCGGCGCGCGCCGGUCGCAGAGCCAGGCUGGCGCCCCGGCCCCCGCCCCCCGGCCCGCGCCCCCGCCCCCGCCCCCGCCGCCGCCCGCCCGGCGCCCUCCCCGCGCUCCCUGCCUGCGCGCCCCGGGCCUCCGGCCGCCUUCCCUCCCUCCCCUCGGUCCCGCCCCGUCCAGCCCGGGCCCCCCGGCCCCCCCCCCGCCGCCGCCCGCGUUCCUAUGGACAGACGCACAGACACCUGCAGUCUGCUGUGGAAGCAGAUGGGACUGUGAGAAGUGUGGACAGUGACCUCUCUUCCAGCCUUUAUCAUCCUGCAUUGUUUAAGAGCAGCAUAAACUCACGCUGCUCUUGGAAAAUGUGGCAUUCAUUCUUGGAUUAAUAUUCUACUACCAGAUGUACGAGGCUGGCUCUGAAGAAGCUUUUCCUCUUAAAUACUGUCAAAAAUAGAGAAGCUGUAGAUUGGAGAGAAGCCAUUUAUUUUGAACAGUUUAUUUUCUGACAGUUUGUGUUUGUAAAGAAACCUGCUCAUAAUAUUUACUUAAGAGAUCUACAUAGUUGCCCGAAGAAGCCCCACAGGUUUCUUUUUUUCCUUUAAAAAAGUUUCCAUGGAGCUUAACUCUUCUGUGAUGCUUCUUGACUUUGCUUCUGAUUAGUUGAUUUAUGGACUUUAUUUACCAGCAUGAUUGGAGAAUUCUUUUGCUCUACAGAAAUUGCACUCUGCCUGUGCUCUGGUCUGUUUCCUAGGUAACAGAUGUACUGCAUAGAUUCCAUAAUGAGGACUGUGGUUGGCUAGUUACAGUGUAAAUUCUGUUGUUUGGUAAAGCUUAGUCUCAAAUUCAAAUAAAGGUCAAGAAACCAAAAGUACUCGAGAUGCGAAUUUUUGAAUUUUAUUUUGUAUCCAAUGUCAACACAGUUUAAUAUGCUUUUCUGGGGAAAGACAAAUUAUGCAGCAAUAUUCAAGCGUGUUUUGUAAAGUCUUAAGUAGUUGGAGAGCUUUUUUACUAUUCCAUAUUGGUAAUACCAAUGGUUCUAGUGACAAAGAAGAUGUGUUUCAGAACACUUCAUCACACUUUAAUAUAGAAAGCAAAGAGAUGUUGUCUAGGAUGUCAGUAACUGGAUCUUCUGUAUUGAAAGAAAAGUAACAUCAUAUACGUUGCUAAAGAUAAAUUGUGCAACUUCAUGUGAAACACAGCUUUUAGGGGUGCUUGGGUGGCUCUGUCGGUUGAGAGUUGGACUCUUGAUUUUGUCUCGGCUUGAUCUGAGGGUCGUGGGUCUGGGCCCUGUGUUGGGCUCUGUGCUGGGAUUGGAGCCUACUUAAAAAAAAAAGUGGUAAAAAAAAGAAACAACUUUUAAAAGCUUUAAAAAGACAUUAAAAUAUUUAAGCAACUUUUAAAAACAUUAAAAGUCUUAUUGUAAAAUGAUGCAUUUGUACUCUAGCUAUUUUCUCUCCGAUCUGCCUGACUUUUGGCCUGCUCAGCACCAGGGAGCAAGUCUCUCUUACAUAGCAACAAAUUGGAGAAUAGCUUUCCCCUCCAUCUGACUCUCCUCUGGAAAUCUAUGGCCUCUAUAGCUCUAGGUGCACGACAAGAAAUAAUAUAUGUGCAAUUGCUAGUAAUUAUUACCAGUUUGUUAAAAAAUUUACAGUGAACCAGAAUUCCAUUAAUUCCGAUUGAAAAUAUUUUUUCAUUUGAUGCAUGAAAAUGUUUUUGUUUGUUGAUCAUCAGGAAUUCUGUUAAAUUUUUAAAGAAAGAUUUAUCUAUUUCAGAGAGAGAUCAUGGAGAGAGAGAGAUCGUGUGUGCAGGCAGAAGGGCAGAGGGAGAGAAUCUUCAGGUGGACCGUCUCCUGAGUGCAGAGCCUGAGGUGGGACUCCAUCCCAGGUCCCUGAGAUCAUGACCCCCGUGGAAAUCAAGAGUUGGACGCUCAGCCAACUGAGCCACUCAGGUGUCCCUAAAAAAAAAUUUAGGUUAAUUUGAGGGGCAGCUGGCUGGGUUAGUUGGUAGAACGUGUGGCUCUUGCUCUCAGGGUCAUGAGCUGGAGCCACAUGCUGCGCAUAGAGCUUACUUAAAAAAAAAAAAAGUUAAUUUGAAUUCUAAAGAUUAUCCAGAGUUGCUUCCAUUACUUUCCCUUGCUUAGCAGGAUUGUUUUUGGAUUAUUUAUUUACCCUUUUAGUUAAUUUUACUAAAAAUUAGGAAUGGAAUAUAUCUUGUUUAGGUUUUCUUCUUGGUUUUUCUCAAAACUGACACUAUUUUAAACUUUUCUGGCCUUUUCAAGUUGCAAAUAUUGUGCCCCUUCAGUUUUCUCUUGUAAAUAUUUACUCUUAAUUUUUUUUUUAAAUUUUGCCUUUUUUUUUUUUUUUUUUAAAGGCUCCAUGCCCAACAUGGGGCUUGUACUCACGACCCUGAUUUACGACCCUGAGAUCAAGAGUCAUGUGCUCUCCUGACUGAGCCAGCCAGGCACCCCUAUUUAAAAUUUUUAAAUCAUUACAUAAUUUAAAGCAUAACCACCACAUAUCAAAAGCUCUACUUUUCUGAGACUUUAUACUUCUGGGGCAGAAUUAACAGUGUUUGUGAACUCUGUCUCAGCCAGAACAACUUCCUCUCCCCAGCCUGUAUAGUUAACAAGGGCCGUCAUAACAAAGUAUGACAGACUGGGUAGCUUAAACAACAAAAUUUUCUCACAGUCUGGAGCCUAGAAGUCCCAGUUCAGGAUGUUGGCAGAGUUGGGUUCUUCUAAGGCCUCUCUUCUUGACUUUCGAUUUCAGUCUUCUUCAGAUAUUUUCACUCUGUGCCUGUCUGUGUCCUAAUCUCUUCUUAUAACAUAUCUAUCCAUAGCCUUAGAACUCACCCAAAACAUCUUGUUUUACCUUAAUUACCUCUUUAAAGGCCCUGUCUCCAAGUAUUGUCUCAUUUUGAAGUACUGGGUAUUAGAACCUAAGUGUAUGAAUUUGGAGGGAAAACGAUUUGGCUUCUAAGUGCAGAGCCUGAAGUGGGACUCCAUCCCAGGUCCCUGAGAUCAUGACCCCAGUGGAAAUCAGGAGUUGGAUGUUCAACCAACUGAGCCACCCAGGUGUCCCUGAAAAAACCUUUUCCUCCACUCCUUGUCUUUUAUACAUACAUACAUACUUCAUCCCAUAUGUGUGAUACAAUGAAGGCCCUACACUACUUUAUUCCUACUUCCUAAGAUUUCUCAGUUCUGUUCGCCUCCAUACAAAUCACAUACUGUCUGUCACCUACGCCUAUCAUUGGUCUUCGUUCUGUAGUUGAAUUUACUCAAAGCACAACACAAGUCCUUGUGCUAAGGCUUCUGUAAUAAUCCUUUUGAUACUCUGAAGCUCUUUUGAAUCCUCAUAAAUGGCUCAUGUGAAUAAUGUAUCCUGUCUUUCAUGCUUAAAACUGUUUAUCUGUGGUUUUAUACUUGGAGGCCAGUGUUGCUGAAUUUAAGUACUUGGCUCACAUUUUCUUUCUUCAGAUCUCUUAAAUAUGUUACUCUGUUGUAGGGUUUGGCAGACCUUUUCUGUGAAAGGCCAAAUGGUAAUUAUUUUAGGCUUUGUGGAACAUGGGUCACUGUCACAAUUAUGUAACUGUGCCACUUCAGUCCAAAGCAGCCAUGUAGAGUAUGUAAAUGAACAAGCAUGACUGUGCUUAGUAAAACUUGAUUUACAGAACCAGACAGUGGGCUGGAUUUGGUGCACAAGGCAUAGUUUGCUGAGUCCUACUCUAUUGUAUUCUGAUAAAAAGUGUUGUCAUCAGAGUCUAAUACCACUAUGAUGUUCUUUUUUUAAAGUGACUCCAUCUUUCUCUUAGACGCCCAAAGGGCUUUUUUCUUCAUCUUUAAAGCCUAGUAAUUUUCCUAGAGCAUGUAUCGACUAUUUUCUAUUAAUUUUUCCAGAUAAUACAAGGUGGAUUUUAUAAUAAUGUUGGCUUAAAUAUUUUUUCAUAAAUAUUUUCAUCAAUGAAAGGUUUUAGUAUUUAAUCUGUUUUAGUGCUUUCAUUUUCUUGAGGGUCUCCUGUUGCAUGUGUGUUGGAUCUUCUUUGCCUUUUAUAUCUAUACCUUUCUUCAAAUUAUUUUUAUCUUUUUUAAUAUUUCUUUUAUUUUUCUAUUUUUUUCCUUUUUAUCCUUUAUCAAGCAGUUUCUAUGGUAUCUAUUAAGUCCAGUUUUGUCUUCCUUUCUGAAUUUUUUUUUCUUUCCUAGUCUGUCCUGAAUUCUAUCAUUUCUC
rnacentral:lncRNA from 1 species